rnacentral:lncRNA from 1 species
GUUUACAGACCUGUACGAAUCAGAAGACAUGAUUGAUCUAUACGUUUUUCAACCCCUUUGGAAUAUUGUAAGUAUCAGAAUCAUUUUGAUGGUAAAAAGCCUUAAUUUGACCCUCCUUCAACAUAUCUUGAACUAUGCUGUAAAACACCAGUAGCUUGGAACCCACAGUUGAACCAAUGUAUUAUGGCAUGUCUGGAAGAACAAUCCUAAAAGUUGAUCAAAAAAUAAUCAAUGUUAAAUCAAAUUAGUUCACAUACAUUGUUGAUUAGUAUGACCACUUAUCUUCAUCAUAAAACACGAUACCUAAAUAAGUGCAUCCUUCUCACAUGUCUCAUUGCUACGGAUUUGCCCUAGCCAUUCCAUGUACACACAGUUUUUCUGCAGGACAUUUGCAAAGAGCUGGUCCAAACUGAACCACAGAACAAACUUCCCUCCCUUUUACUCCCCUCCCUCCAGUUUGUCAAUGGGAGACUACGUUUAAAAUGUAACCCCACCUGAAAUCCAUUGUCAACCAAUCACAUGCUAGAACGCCUGCACGGAUGGCACGCCCUUCUUUGUUCAAAGCCAAUGAGAAUGGAUGUGUGGCAUUUUGCCUGGGGGGGAAAACUUAGCCCUGGAUGUGUUAAUUACGCAUCACUUAACUGUUGCCAAUGUGUUCUCAACGGUGGAUCCUCUUUUGGGUUUUUUACAACUACUCUAUUUAUUUUCCGGUCCUUUUAUUAUGGAAGGCAGACAACAAUGGCUUACCAGGCUGAAGAAUGAGCUAAGCAACAGUCCACUGGUGUCAAACGUAGCUUUUGGCUUUAUCCUCAUGGGACUGGAAAAGCUGGUGGAGCUGGAGUUUGAGUGUCCUUGCGAUCCUACGUGGAACGGAGUGUUUUCGUCUGCCUUCUUCAUCAUCCCCGCCGUCAUGGCCUUCACCUUGAUGCUGAUCAUCCAGGGGUGCCGGUGCGAUACGUGGUGCAGGAACACCAUCUCCUUCUCCAGCUUUGUCCCCGCUGUCGUUUGGCUGAUUCUGCUGUUCUUGGACGGCCAAUACUUUGCCUGUGCGAUGACAUACUGGGAGGGAAGGUUUGUGAUCGUGGACAAGGCAGCGCCUCAGAAGUGGUGCGAGCCACUGAGCGACGGGGACAUCCCUCUUCAAGAGCUGAUGCUGCGCUCCCAGAACUUGUUUGUUUUCUCUCAGGUGAUAGGCAUAAUCCUUCUGAUAUUCAUCUGUGUGGGACUCAUCGUUUAUGUGGCGAGAGAGAGCUGUGAACAGGACCUGGAGAUGCAGGAGGCAGACGUAGCUGAGCUUACAGUACUUAGGAUGAGCUCACUGCGGACCAGGACUCCCUGAGAGCCGUGUGGUCGGCCGGACCAGCCAGUUCUCAUGGGGGCGAGAGCUAAACCUGGCUGGAAUGAACACUUACAGAGCACCAGGAAUAGACUUCACCGUUGGUCUCCAUUGUUUUGUCAAUCAGUGCCUUGUGUACAUUUGCGAAUAGUUAUUUCAUUGUUUCUUUCGUGUCUUAGUGCCUUAUUGUGUUUGUUUACUAUUAUGUGUGGGAAUUCUUUAAUGCACCAUUUGUUGUUGGACUAAAACUGCAAUACAGUCCUUUCUAACUACAACUUUUUUCUGACGUGGUUGUUCACUUAUAUUAUAUUAAGUGCAUUGUUAAGUGCACAUAUUUUAUUGUUCUAAAGAAACUAAAUGCCAGCCCCUUUUUUGUACCUUCGGUAAAACCAUGUAAUAUACGUUUUAAAAAAACUUGAACAAGGGAAAUUGGAUACAGGGAAACAGGAUAUUCUGUCGCCAGAAUAAGAGUUUUUUGCCUUUGUAUACGAAUAGCUGGCGGAUGGACUAAUGCUUUAAUGUAUAGGGAUCCCCGAGGCAGCUAGUGUUGAAAUGUGUUUGCCACUUCAUACAUUUUGGAGUGUCGCAGGCUGUAUAGUGAAAAUGUGUUGUCAAAGUAAAAUAUCACUUUUAAUAAUUCAGGGGCGCUCUCGGUCUGCUACAUGGAAGAAGACUCCUGACUGAAUCAUCCAAUGAUUCUCAUUCUGUCAGGUUUAUUAUGUAUAUACCAACUAGGAUUCAAAUAUAUAUGAUAAUGCCUACUGCAGUAUUUUUACAUAAAAUAUUGUUCAUGCAUUAUGUAGAAACUGUCAUUGAUUGUGGUUUGUAGCAAGAAAAUGUGACUUAAAAAGUACUGACAUUUGAUUUUGUAAUAAAGAAAU